rnacentral:rRNA from 1 species
AGUUUGAUCCUGGCUCAGAUUGAACGCUGGCGGUAUGCUUAACACAUGCAAGUCGAACGGUACAGGCCUUCGGGCGCUGACGAGUGGCGGACGGGUGAGUAACGCGUAGGAAUCUGCCUCAUAGUGGGGGACAACGUGGGGAAACUCACGCUAAUACCGCAUACGCCCUACGGGGAAGCGGGGGAUCUUCGGACCUCGCGCUAUGAGAUGAGCCUGCGUUAGAUUAGCUAGUUGGUAGGGUAAAGGCCUACCAAGGCGACGAUCUAUAGCUGGUCUGAGAGGACGAUCAGCCACACUGGGACUGAGACACGGCCCAGACUCCUACGGGAGGCAGCAGUGGGGAAUAUUGGACAAUGGGCGCAAGCCUGAUCCAGCAAUACCGCGUGUGUGAAGAAGGCCUUAGGGUUGUAAAGCACUUUCAAUUGGGAGGAAAACCUGCCGGUCAAUACCCGGUAGCUUGACAUUACCUUUAGAAGAAGCACCGGCUAACUCCGUG